GACCCUGUUGAGCUUGACU
rnacentral:snRNA from 1 species